rnacentral:rRNA from 1 species
GGGUGUCCGGCCACACUGGCACUGAGACAAGGGCCAGUCCCCUAUGGGAGGCGCAGGCGGGAAUAGUUCCCAAUGGACGAAAGUCUGAGGACGCGACGCCGCGUGAGCGAAGAAGGCCUUCGGGUUGUAAAGCUCUGUCAGGAGGGAAGAAGGCGCUGGGUGUUAAUAGCACCAAGCGUUGACGGUACUUCCAGAGGAAGCCCCGGCUAAAUACGUGCCAGCAGCCGCGGUAAUACGUAUGGGGCAAGCGUUGUCCGGAUUAACUGGGCGUAAAGGGCACGCAGGCGGUUCGUUUAGUCGAAGGUGAAAUCCCUGGGCUCAACUCAGGAACUGCCUUCGAUACUGGCGAACUAGAGUGGCGUAGAGGAAAGCGGAACUCCUGGUGUAACGGUGGAAUGUGUAGAUAUCAGGAGGAACACCGGUGGCGAAGGCGGCUUUCUGGACGCACAACUGACGCUCAGGUGCGAAAGCGUGGGUAGCAAACAGGAUUAGAUACCCUGGUAGUCCACGCCGUAAACGAUGGGUACUAGGUGUCGGGGGUAUCGAUCCCCUCGGUGCCGAAGUCAACGCAUUAAGUACCCCGCCUGGGGAGUAUGGUCGCAAGGCUGAAACUCAAAGGAAUUGACGGGUCCCCGCACAAGCGGUGGAGCAUGUGGUUUAAUUCGACGCAACGCGAAGAACCUUACCUGGGCUUGACAUGCUUGGGACAGCGCUGGAAACAGCGUCUCUCCUUCGGGAGUCCUUGCACAGGUGCUGCAUGGCUGUCGUCAGCUCGUGUCGUGAGAUGUCGGGUUAAGUCCCUCAACGAGCGCAACCCUCGUUACUAGUUGCCAUCAGUUCGGCUGGGCACUCUAGUGAGACUGCCGGUGACAAACCGGAGGAAGGUGAGGAUGAUGUCAAGUCAUCAUGGCCCUUACGCCCAGGGCUACACACGUGCUACAAUGGUCGGCACAAAGGGCAGCCAAACCGCGAGGUGGAGCUAAUCCCAUAAAGCCGGCCCCAGUACGGAUUGGAGUCUGCAACUCGACUCCAUGAAGGCGGAAUCGCUAGUAAUCGCGGAUCAGCAUGCCGCGGUGAUAUGUUCCCGGGGAUUGUACACACCGCCCGUCAUAUCACCCGAGCCGG